rnacentral:rRNA from 1 species
AGUCGAGCGAGAUUUUUUCUUGUAGCAAUACAGGGAAAAGUCUAGCGGCGAACGGGUGCUUAACACGUGGGCAACCUGCCGUGAAGUGGGGGAUAGCUCGCCGAAAGGCGAAUUAAUACCGCAUGUGAUUAGAGAGGACAUCCUUUCGAAAUUAAAGUCGGGGCAACCUGACGCUUCUUGUGGGGCCCGCGGCCUAUCAGCUAGUUGGUGAGGUAACGGCUCACCAAGGCUUUGACGGGUAGCUGGUCUGAGAGGACGACCAGCCACACUGGGACUGAGACACGGCCCAGACACCUACGGGUGGCAGCAGUCGAGAAUUUUUGACAAUGGGGGAAACCCUGAUCGAGCGACGCCGCGUGGAGGAUGAAGGUCUUCGGAUUGUAAACUCCUGUCAUUGGGGAACAAGGUGCAUACGUUAACUGCGUGUGCAUUGAUAGUACUCGAAGAGGAAGGGACGGCUAACUCUGUGCCAGCAGCCGCGGUAAUACAGAGGUCCCAAGCGUUGUUCGGAUUCAUUGGGCGUAAAGGGUGCGUAGGCGGCGCGGUAAGUCGGGUGUGAAAUCUCGGAGCUUAACUCCGAAACUGCAUUCGAUACUGCCGUGCUUGAGGACUGGAGAGGAGACUGGAAUUUACGGUGUAGCGGUGAAAUGCGUAGAUAUCGUAAGGAAGACCAGUGGCGAAGGCGGGUCUCUGGACAGUUCCUGACGCUGAGGCA